UAAGUGUUUAACCAGAUGCUCCGCAGGGCGCAGCUUUAUACGACCGCAGAGGUUGAACCCUGAACGGUUGGGGCAAGUAUGGACACAACAUUCAAGCUGGAUACAGCUCUAAAUUUGGAUUGUGAUUAAAUAGUUGACACAGCAUAGGUUUCUGACACAGAAUGAAUGUGGUCUAAUGAACUUAAAAAAAAUUUUUUUGCCUUUGAGCAAUUCACUAUGCUGUUGAAUAUUAAUCCUCUCAAAAAAAUGUUUGAAGAAAUUUUCUUUUU
rnacentral:lncRNA from 1 species